rnacentral:rRNA from 1 species
UACGUAGGGCGCAAGCGUUGUCCGGAAUUAUUGGGCGUAAAGAGCUCGUAGGCGGCUUGUCACGUCGGCUGUGAAAACCCGGGGCUCAACCCCGGGCCUGCAGUCGAUACGGGCAGGCUAGAGUUCGGUAGGGGAGACUGGAAUUCCCGGUGUAGCGGUGAAAUGCGCAGAUAUCGGGAGGAACACCGGUGGCGAAGGCGGGUCUCUGGGCCGAAACUGACGCUGAGGAGCGAAAGCGUGGGGAGCAAACAGGG